rnacentral:lncRNA from 1 species
CUGGGCACAGGCUGCGGAUCUGGCUUAGCUCAAGUGGAGAGAUUCUGCUGGCAGAAAGAGAACACAAAGCUUUUAGUUGGCAUACAAUGCUAGAAUAACAAGGCAGAAAAUUGUGAGGCCUUAACUACUUGACCAAUUCUCUCUACAGAACAUUUUCAGAGCUCUGGGACUAUGGGAAUCUGGAGAGUUAAGAACAAUGUUCUGAAAUGUAGACUGAGAUGUCUUGCAAUCUACUGUGCUUAGGAAACAAAGUCCUGCUGAGCAGAAGUAGCUGAAUUCAGGCACAUGGUUGGAGUCUCUUCAGGAUAUUUGUCUUUGAACCUUCAGGACAGAGAGAGUGUGAAGCUUGGCUAGGAAGUUUUAAGGGCAGAGCUUGCUGCUUUAUUUUUAAAACUUCAGAGCUAUUCUGUUUUUAUAGGCAAAUAUAUCAUGUUAAUGUUUCUAGCAAUAAUGAAAAUAGACUUUGAAUGAUUUUGAAAUAUUUUCCAGUAAUUAUGAAACACUGACUUGUGGAGGGCAUGUGUUGCUAAAGUAGUCACCUUAUAUGUAGCUUUGGAGACAGUUAGAAAUGCAUGUGAGUCACAGACACAAAUCUCUGCUUUAUGAGAAGACAGAGCUAUUUUCUCCAUCAGGUUUUCAAUAUCCAGCGUUCACUUGGCCGAGCGUGUUCUUUCUCCCACUUCUUUGCCUCCAUCCUUCUCAUUCAGAGGAUUUUUAGCUUACUUAUUACCUGUUCAAAGAAGCUGUGACUGGCCAUAAUAUUGGAGGUUUUGGGGUACAUGAGCAGAGCAUGCAAGACAGUUGAUGAGUUCGUGUCAUUUGUAGGGACAUGGAUGAAUCUGGAGAACAUCAUCCUCAGCAAACUGACACAAGAACAGAAAAUGAAACACCGCAUAUUCUCACUCAUAGGCUUCACUCAAGGUGUCAGCUGGGAAUGUCAUCAUCUUGAGUCUUCGCUGAGGAAGGAUCCGCUUCCAAACUCCCUCACCUGAUUGUUGUUAGGACUCAGCUGUUUCUGCAAGAAGGGCUUCAUUUCCUUGCUGGCUAUUGGCCAAUGAGUGCCUUGCAUUUCUUGCCAGGUGAUUCUCUUCAUAAGGUAGCUCACAGCUUUAUCAGAGCAAGUGCUGAGAGAAGAGAGAGAAAGAGCGCGAGAGAGCGAGAGAAAGAGAAAUAGAAACAAAGAAAGUGAGGUAAGUCAUAGUUGUUUAUAACUUAAUUUCUGAAGUGACAUUUUAUCACAUUUGUGGUAUUCUAUUUAUUAGAAGCAAGUCAGCAGAUCCGCUUUACACAGAAGUGAACUGGGUUUCACAAAGGCCUGACUAUCACUGGGCUCCAUUUUAGAAUCUGUAUACGGUAUCUGUCUUUAAUUGCCGGCAAUAUAAUUAAGAGAAAAACAUGAAUGGAGAGG